UUUCUAUAUAUAUAUUCUUAUUCCAUCCUUACUUGGAUUUGUGUGUAUUAGGUAGUUGUUGUGGAAUUGUUAGACUACUUGUUUGAUAUUACUGUACUGUCGGAACUAGAAGCACAAGCAUUUCGCUAGUCUCGCAAUAACAUCUGCUAACCAUGUGUGUGACCAAUACAUUUUUAUUUGAUUUGACAUUUGUUCAAAUGAUUUGCUUCUCCCAUUAAAUAAAGGAGCCAGAUGGGUGUCAGGGGUGGCAUCCCUGACAUCUGAUUGGCCACCCCUGGCAGUUUGAUGCUGAUUGACCUCUCACUUCACCUCUUGUUGAAAGAAGCAUUUAUUUUGAUGUUCGGCGACGCAGUUAUUCAAAUCGAGGACGAGGAAGAGAGAAUGUUAACGUUGGUUGCGAGAUAGAGAAGAAUAAGAAGGACACACAGAAGAAGAGAGAGUAUUUCCACAGUUCCACGAGCUCUUUUCGCGAUUGGCGAAAGCAUCAUAUUUAAAGAUCAAUUAAACAUGAAAAGAAAGGGAGAGAUAUCAGACUUCUGCUACAAAAGAACACAAUGACGUUUUGAAGAUCCAGAGAAGAGGGUCCUGUUCCAGCCGUGUUUGAAAACAUUUCCCAGAACUCAGCAUGGUUCUCAGAAAAGGGCUUUCAACAUCUCCUGGAAUAAGGACAAUUCAUGGCUUGAAUAUUCUGUAAAUCAAGAUUUGACUUAUUGUUUCGCCUGUAUGCAUUUUUCUCUGCCCAAUAGACCUGAAUCUGCCUUCACAUCACAGUAGGGUUAUUGUAACUGGAAAAAGGCGCUAUUUGAAGAUUCUGGGUUUAAGCUCCAUUCGAAGGCAGAGCAUCAUAUCAAUGCUGUGUAUGCUUGGAAUCAGCAUAAAGGGGCUAUUGACAGCAACUCAUUAAUGUUAGACGUCAUAAAUGAGGACCGGAAAAAGUAAGUGGAGGAAAACUGUACUUACAUUAAAACAAUUGCAGAUGUGCUCCUAUUAACUGCCACUCAAAAUAUAGCGCAGAGAGGUCAUCGAGAGUCUGACUCUCACAACCAGGGUGAUUUUUUUGACACUUAGAAGAAAUCGCAAAGCAUGACCCUCUCAUAGAGAAAGGGAUGAAUGCAUGUGGCAAUGCUAAGUACACAAGCCACCAAAUCCAGAAUGAAAUUCUUGAGGGCUUAGCUGAGAUGGUACAAAGUGAAAUAAUAAGAUAGGUAAAAGAAAGAUACGUUUUUAGUGUAAUUACAGAUGAAACCAGAGAUUGAAAGAAAAGAAGAACAAUGGGGCCAUCCACGAAAGCUUUUUACACUUUCAGUCAGCUGAAAGCUUAGAUGCAGCAGGUCUCACAAAAAUUAUAAUUGAUUGCCUUGAAAAACAUGUUCUGGACUACAGAAAGAAACUUAUGGGGCAAGGCUAUGACGGUGCAUCCGUCAUGAGCGGAAAGCAUUCUGGUGUGUCUGUUCGGAUUCAAAAUUGUAUGUGCGCUGUAACGCACAUUGUUUGGUUUUGGUUCUUGUCGAUGCUGUAAAAUCGGUGCCUGAGGCAGUUCACUUUUUUGCUCUCCUGCAGCAGUUUUAUAACUUUCUAUCUGGCUCGUACGUUCAUCUCAAGUGGCUUGCAGUUCAAAAAGAGCUGUAGCCGCAGCAGCCCAGGGAACGACAGAGACUUACGGAUGGAAGGUGGGCAUGCAGAUAGAUUACGGCAUGUGAUGUGAGGGACAGGCUUCCAGCAGUUCUGAGAGUGCUACAGGAUAUCACACUUGAAAAUAGUGGUGAUAGAUCAGUGGAGGCAAGGGGCCUUCUUUCUCAGAUUGACAUUUCAUAGGGCUUUUGGUUACCUUUUUUUAUAAAGUGCUUGGUGAUGCCAAAUGUCUUUCUGACUUGCACCAAUCAAGCGCUCUCGACCUAGCAAGGGCUGUGGAUCUAGUAGGUGCCCUUACAGACACAUUACAGGACUACAGAGGGUGACUUUGGAGAACUAUGGAAAGAGGUUGCAGAGCACUGCAAAAUAAGUGUACAAACUUAGACAGCCUAAAACAAGCUCAAAAUUUCACGACUCAUUGAUGAUGAGCACUGUAGGACAGAAAAAUAGUGACCAAAGUGAUGGUGAGAGCUUCCGAAGAGCUAUCUUUUAUCUGGUGCUUGACAGUCUAACAGCUGAGCUGCAGAAGCGUUUUUCAAAGCAAAAUUGCGAGAUGAUGCAAAGGGGUCCAGUCUCUCAACCCAAAGAGUACAACAUUCUUGAAUGAGGAGCCUCUGUUUGCCUUUGAGUCAGAUUUAGAGGACCUCAAACAUGAGGUUCAUCAAACCAAGCGGCCUCUUGCUACAAGAGAGAAAAGUGGAAGGGACAGACCGUCUCCUCUCCUUGACUUUGUUGUGUUUCUAGAACCUUAUAAAGAGGUCUUCCAUGAGCUAUUUCGACAUUGCAAGAUUUCUGUUGUUACACCAGUCAGCAGUGCUUCUUGCGAGAUAAGCUUCUCAGCUUUAAAACCGAUUAAAACCCACCUGAGGUCAACAAUGGUCGAUGACAGGUUAAGUCACCUCGGGAAUUCUCAGUGUUGAGUCAAGGAGGGCAUGCUCCCUCGACAUGGAUGAGUUUGUGAAACAUUUAGCCAGUUCUCACCAGAACAGUAGAAUUAUGCUGUUUUAAAUCUACCUAGGAUAAUUUGGCACUUAGGCGGUCCCUCUGGUCAUGAUUAAAACCUGCACUGUGUACUAGCUAGAACACUUGACAUUCUAAAAUCAUAAAUCCAAAGGGUAUCAUGUCACACAGAUGUUAUUCGGUCUUGAUUAGGCAGAUUCCAAAACUUUUGUUAGCUAUUAGUUAACAUAUCUAUGAACAUAAAUAUGUAAGUCUGUAAUAUUGAUGGGCUCCCAAUUUAUUUUUCAAGUUAAUUUCUGCUUGAUACCAGGUAUGUCAAAUUGCAGUGUUUUUUUGUUGUUGUAAAUAAACAAUGCAAUUUAUGUAACACACAA
ensembl:lncRNA